CCUGGUGGCCUUAGCGAGUGUGUAACACCCGAUCCCAUCCCGAACUCGGCCGUGAAAACGCUCAGCGCCAAUGGUACUUCGUCUUAAGACGCGGAAGAGUAGGUCGCUGCCAGGC
rnacentral:rRNA from 1 species